rnacentral:rRNA from 1 species
AGUGAACGCUGGCGGUAGGCCUAACACAUGCAAGUCGAACGGCAGCACAGUAAGAGCUUGCUCUUACGGGUGGCGAGUGGCGGACGGGUGAGGAAUACAUCGGAAUCUACUUUUUCGUGGGGGAUAACGCAGGGAAACUUACGCUAAUACCGCAUACGACCUACGGGUGAAAGCAGGGGAUCUUCGGGCCUUGCGCGAUUGAAUGAGCCGAUGUCGGAUUAGCUAGUUGGCGGGGUAAAGGCCCACCAAGGCGACGAUCCGUAGCUGGUCUGAGAGGAUGAUCAGCCACACUGGAACUGAGACACGGUCCAGACUCCUACGGGAGGCAGCAGUGGGGAAUAUUGGACAAUGGGCGCAAGCCUGAUCCAGCCAUACCGCGUGGGUGAAGAAGGCCUUCGGGUUGUAAAGCCCUUUUGUUGGGAAAGAAAAGCAGCAGGUUAAUACCCCGCUGUUCUGACGGUACCCAAAGAAUAAGCACCGGCUAACUUCGUG